rnacentral:rRNA from 1 species
AUGAACGCUGGCGGCGUGCUUAACACAUGCAAGUCGAACGAUGAACCUGUGCUUGCACGGGGGAUUAGUGGCGAACGGGUGAGUAACACGUGAGUAACCUGCCCUUGACUUCGGGAUAAGCCUGGGAAACUGGGUCUAAUACUGGAUACGACCUCUCACCGCAUGGUGUGGGGGUGGAAAGUUUUUGCGGUUUUGGAUGGACUCGCGGCCUAUCAGCUUGUUGGUGAGGUAAUGGCUCACCAAGGCGACGACGGGUAGCCGGCCUGAGAGGGUGACCGGCCACACUGGGACUGAGACACGGCCCAGACUCCUACGGGAUGCAGCAGUGGGGAAUAUUGCACAAUGGGCGAAAGCCUGAUGCAGCGACGCCGCGAGAGGGACGACGGCCUUCGGGUUGUAAACCUCUUUCAGUAGGGAACAAGGCAUCAUUUUUGUGGUGUUGAGGGUACUUGCAGAAGAAGCACCGGCUAACUACGU